rnacentral:rRNA from 1 species
UACGUAGGUCCCGAGCGUUGUCCGGAUUUAUUGGGCGUAAAGCGAGCGCAGGUGGUUUAUUAAGUCUGGUGUAAAAGGCAGUGGCUCAACCAUUGUGUGCAUUGGAAACUGUUAGACUUGAGUGCAGUAGAGGAGAGUGGAAUUCCAUGUGUAGCGGUGAAAUGCGUAGAUAUAUGGAGGAACACCGGUGGCGAAAGCGGCUCUCUGGUCUGUAACUGACGCUGAGGCUCGAAAGCGUGGGGAGCAAACAGG